rnacentral:rRNA from 1 species
GAUGAACGCUAGCUACAGGCUUAACACAUGCAAGUCGUGGGGCAGCGGAUACUUAGCUUGCUAAGUAUGCCGGCGACCGGCGCACGGGUGAGUAACGCGUACCGAACCUGCCCAUCACACAGGGAUAGGCUUGCGAAAGCAAGAUUAAUAUCUGAUGGUCUCAAUUUUAUGCAUGUAUGAUUGAGUAAGGCCUUCGGGCGGUGAUGGAUGGCGGUGCGUCCCAUUAGGAAGUUGGCGGGGUAACGGGCCACCAAGCCUUCGAUGGGUAGGGGUUCUGAGAGGAAGGUCCCCCACAUUGGAACUGAGAUACGGUCCAAACGCCUACGGGAGGCAGCAGUGAGGAAUAGUGGUCAAUGGGCGAGAGCCUGAACCAGCCAAGCAGCGUGCGGGAUGAAGGCCCUUGUGGGCGUAAACCGCUUUUAUCAGUGAAUAAAGUGCACCACGUGUGGUGUCAUUGCAGGUAGCUGAAGAAAAAGGACCGGCUAAUUCCGUG